rnacentral:rRNA from 1 species
GGGGAAUCUUGCACAAUGGAGGAAACUCUGAUGCAGCGACGCCGCGUGAGCGAAGAAGCCUUUCGGGGUGUAAAGCUCUUACGCCAGGGACGAUAAUGGCGGUACCUGGAGCAGCAGCUGCGGCUAACUACGUGCCAGCAGCCGCGGUAAUACGUAGGCAGCAAGCGUUGUUCGGAAUUACUGGGCGUAAAGGGUGCGUAGGCGGCGCUCUAAGUUUGGUGUGAAAUCUCCCGGCUUAACUGGGAGGGCGCACUGAAAACUGGGGCGCUCGAGUAUGGGAGAGGAAAGCGGAAUUCCUGGUGGAGCGGUGAAAUGCGUAGAGAUCAGGAGAAACACCCGCGGUGCAGACGGCUUUCUGGACCAUCACUGACGCUGAGGCACGAAAG